AUGGAGGGCCUCAUCCCGUUCAUCUACAGGGCCGUGGCGCAGUACAGGAAGGAGGGGCAGGUCUCCCUCGCCGACCUCCUCUUCGACGAGCAGCCGUCCUCGUCGCCCACGGCGGCCUCGGCCUACUUCCGCCUCCCCGGGGACUCCGGCCGGCACCAGCGCGUCUCGGCCGACUCCGGUGCAGCACGGCGGUCUCCGGCGCACCGUCGGCGCACCAUGGAGCACGGAUCGUGGUGA
rnacentral:rRNA from 1 species